GUUUCCGUAGUGUAGAGGUUAUCACAUCCGCCUAACACGCGGAAUGUCCUGGGUUCGAGCCCAAGCGGAAACU
rnacentral:tRNA from 1 species